UGGUGAUGGAGAAGGUGAAGAAGAACAACGGAGGAGAAAGAACAGAACCGAGGGGACUCCAUUUCCUCCGAGGCAACUGCCCUCCUCCCUCUCGCGCCCUCCAACUACUGCACUCCCCCUGCUCAGUUGUUUCCAAAGGCAACUAAUCAGUCUCCUCCAUUCCAUAAAUACUGAAUCUUGGGAGUCGAACCUUGACACUCAGAAAUGGGAGUCGACACCGGGAGUCGAGGAAUCAAUUAUUUGAUUUCAAUCUCCACCACUAACCACAUCAUCGUCGUUAACAGUUGGAAAAAUGGCAGAGCGACAGCAGCAAAGUCCUGUAUGACAAUACUUUGAGACGUGAAAUGAGAAGGAAAUGCAAGCUUUGAGAUGUGGAAUCGAGGUACAGUAAUGGUAUUCCGGGGGAAAUGCUUAACCAUCUGAAAAGCACAGCUGGAUUGUGAAUUCACAUGGAAUUAUGAUUUUUAUGAUCUUAUCGUUUUAAUGGAAAACUGAUUUUAAAAAUGGCAGUUUAAAUGUUAAGAUUUUUUUUCAAUUCGUCACAUCCCUAGAGAGAACAUCAUCUGUACAUUUUACUUCAAAUAGUCCCAAUGAGGCAUUUAUAACCUUGCUUCAGUAGCCAAGCCAAAAUCCGACCAUACAAACAUUGAGAGAAUGAAUUUAUACUUCCUCAUAUGCCAUUGAAACCAGCUGUUCUCUGUUCUCUUGGUUUUCAAAUCACAAAUAUAGCUUGAUUUUGCAAAAUAGCAUUCUGAAUAGGCCAAGCCUUCCAUAACGAAUAAAUUAAAUGCCUUCAAUAGUUACUUUGGUUUCCGAAGAGUUAAGCUCAUUGACUCAGCCAGGAAAACAAACAGUAUUAUCAUUUCUCACACGAAUCAAUUAGCCGCAUUAGCCUGGCCUAUGUGUGAAAAAUCCCCUACAAUUGCAGCACGUUGUGCCUCUGUGUGUCUACAGAGAACAUUGGUUAAGGGCCUAUAGUUUUUUUAUUUAUAAAAUGAAACAAAUCAACAUUAUAAUAGGUAAAGAUAUAUAUCCAAUUGAAAGAAUAUACAGUAUUUGUUCAUCAACAUUUGUGCUUUCGUUAAUAAAAGAAUGAUACAAAAAUGACUGUUUCAAAAUGCAGAUG
rnacentral:lncRNA from 8 species